rnacentral:rRNA from 1 species
GACGAACGCUGGCGGCGUGCCUAAUACAUGCAAGUCGAACGCAGUGGGGACGGGUGAGUAACACGUGGGUAACCUCCCAUCAGAGGGAAUAACACUUGGCAGCAGGUGUUAAACCGAUACUGAUGGAUGGACCCGCGGUGCAUUAGCUAGUGGGUGGGGUAACGGCUCACCAAGGCUACGAUGCGUAGCUGGCAUGAGAGGAUGAUCAGCCACACUGGGACUGAGACACGGCCCAGACUCCUACGGGAGGCAGCAGUGGGGAAUAUGGCACAAUGGGCGCAAGCCUGAUGCAGCCAUGCCGCGUGUAUGAAGAAGGCCUUAGGGUUGUAAAGUACUUUCAGCGGGGAGGCGUUACCCACAGAAGAAGCACCGGCUAACUCCGUGCCAGCAGCCGCGGUAAUUC